GGGCAUACACCAAUGUACCAAACCCUAUCAAACUCCGAAUACCUUAUAUGUAAUCACAGCAGUCAGGCGGCGAGUGAUAAAAUCCGUCGUCAAGAGGGAAACAACCCAGACUACCAGCUAAGGUCCCUAAGUCUUACUUAAGUGGAAAACGAUGUGAAGUUACUUAAACAACCAGGAGGUUGGCUUAGAAGCAGCCAUCCUUUAAAGAAAGCGUAAUAGCUCACUGGUCUAGUGAUUUUGCGCGGAAAAUAUAACGGGGCUAAAGUAAGUACCGAAGCUGUAGACUUAGUUUACUAAGUGGUAGGAGAGCGUUCUAUUUGCGUCGAAGGUAUACCGGUAAGGAGUGCUGGAGCGAAUAGAAGUGAGCAUGCAGGCAUGAGUAGCGAUAAUUAAUGUGAGAAUCAUUAACGCCGUAAACCCAAGGUUUCCUACGCGAUGCUCGUCAUCGUAGGGUUAGUCGGGUCCUAAGUCGAGUCCGAAAGGGGUAGACGAUGGCAAAUUGGUUAAUAUUCCAAUACCAACAUUAGUGUGCGAUGGAAGGACGCUUAGGGCUAAGGGGGCUAGCGGAUGGAAGUGCUAGUCUAAGGUCGUAGGAGGUUAUACAGGCAAAUCCGUAUAACAAUACUCCGAGAACUGAAAGGCUUUUUGAAGUCUUCGGAUGGAUAGAAGAACCCCUGAUGCCGUCGAGCCAAGAAAAGUUUCUAAGUUUAGCUAAUGUUGCCCGUACCGUAAACCGACACAGGUGGGUGGGAUGAGUAUUCUAAGGCGCGUGGAAGAACUCUCUUUAAGGAACUCUGCAAAAUAGCACCGUAUCUUCGGUAUAAGGUGUGGUUAGCUUUGUAUUAGGAUUUACUCCGAAAGCAAGGAAACUUACAACAAAGAGUCCCUCCCGACUGUUUACCAAAAACACAGCACUCUGCUAACUCGUAAGAGGAUGUAUAGGGUGUGACGCCUGCCCGGUGCUCGAAGGUUAAUUGAUGGGGUUAGCAUUAGCGAAGCUCUUGAUCGAAGCCCGAGUAAACGGCGGCCGUAACUAUAACGGUCCUAAGGUAGCGAAAUUCCUUGUCGGUUAAAUACCGACCUGCAUGAAUGGCGUAACGAGAUGGGAGCUGUCUCAAAGAGGGAUCCAGUGAAAUUGUAGUGGAGGUGAAAAUUCCUCCUACCCGCGGCAAGACGGAAAGACCCCGUGGACCUUUACUACAGCUUGACACUGCUACUUGGAUAAGAAUGUGCAGGAUAGGUGGGAGGCUUUGAGUAUAUGACGCCAGUUGUAUAUGAGCCAUUGUUGAGAUACCACUCUUUCUUAUUUGGGUAGCUAACCAGCUUGAGUUAUCCUCAAGUGGGACAAUGUCUGGUGGGUAGUUUGACUGGGGCGGUCGCCUCCCAAAUAAUAACGGAGGCUUACAAAGGUUGGCUCAGAACGGUUGGAAAUCGUUCGUAGAGUAUAAAGGUAUAAGCCAGCUUAACUGCAAGACAUACAAGUCAAGCAGAGACGAAAGUCGGUCUUAGUGAUCCGGUGGUUCUGUGUGGAAGGGCCAUCGCUCAAAGGAUAAAAGGUACCCCGGGGAUAACAGGCUGAUCUCCCCCAAGAGCUCACAUCGACGGGGAGGUUUGGCACCUCGAUGUCGGCUCAUCGCAUCCUGGGGCUGGAGCAGGUCCCAAGGGUAUGGCUGUUCGCCAUUUAAAGCGGUACGCGAGCUGGGUUCAGAACGUCGUGAGACAGUUCGGUCCCUAUCUGCCGUGGGCGUAAGAAGAUUGAAGAGAUUUGACCCUAGUACGAGAGGACCGGGUUGAACAAACCACUGGUGUAGCUGUUGUUCUGCCAAGAGCAUCGCAGCGUAGCUAAGUUUGGAAAGGAUAAACGCUGAAAGCAUCUAAGCGUGAAGCCAACUCUAAGAUGAAUCUUCUCUAAGCUCUCUAGAAGACUACUAGUUUGAUAGGCUGGGUGUGUAAUGGAUGAAAGUCCUUUAGCUGACCAGUACUAAUAGAGCGUUUGGCUUAUCUUUAAUAAAGCAU
rnacentral:rRNA from 1 species